UACGGGGGGGGCAAGCGCUGUUCGGAAUUACUGGGCGUAAAGGGCUCGUAGGCGGCCAACUAAGUCAGACGUGAAAUCCCCAGGCUCAACCUGGGAACUGCGUCCGAUACUGGAUGGCUUGAAUCCGGGAGAGGGAUGCAGAAUUCCAGGUGUAGCGGUGAAAUGCGUAGAUAUCUGGAGGAAUACCGGUGGCGAAGGCGGCAUCCUGGACCGGCAUUGACGCUGAGGAGCGAAAGCCAGGGGAGCAAACGGG
rnacentral:rRNA from 1 species